rnacentral:rRNA from 1 species
AUUGAACGCUGGCGGAAUGCUUUACACAUGCAAGUCGAGCGGCAGCGCGGGGGCAACCCUGGCGGCGAGCGGCGAACGGGUGAGUAAUACAUCGGAACAUGUCCAGUUGUGGGGGAUAGCCCGGCGAAAGCCGGAUUAAUACCGCAUGAGCUCUGGCGAGGAAAGCGGGGGACCCGUAAGGGCCUCGCGCGACUGGGUUGGCCGAUGUCCGAUUAGCUAGUUGGUGGGGUAAAGGCNCACCAAGGCGAUGAUCGGUAGCUGGUCUGAGAGGAUGAUCAGCCACACUGGGACUGAGACACGGCCCAGACUCCUACGGGAGGCAGCAGUGGGGAAUUUUGGACAAUGGGGGAAACCCUGAUCCAGCCAUUCCGCGUGAGUGAAGAAGGCCU